rfam:Cavia porcellus supercont2_32 genomic scaffold, whole genome shotgun sequence.
UAGUGCCUCCUUCCUUGUCAGGGGUCAUUUCUAUAGUAUGUUACUAGAGAAGUCGCUGUGAUCAUGUGGAGUGCCAGAGACCACAAGGAAUAGUGUUUUUUCCUGAGUGUCAAGUUGCAUCAUGGUGUUGUUGCUUGAGUACAACUGCCACCUUGAUCCGGCCCGCCAGUCAAUCUGUGGGUCUCACCUGGUGGAUGAACGGGGUGGG